UCUGAAUCUGCGAACGGCUCCGCAAACCAGUUGUAAACCAUAGCAAGCAUGCCCUGGGUCUGCCGCAAGGUGGGUCCGGGGCUACAGGGAUAACCCUGGUAAUUCUGAGGCUAAUACAUGAACGUAACCCCUGGUCGAAGGGCAACCGGAGGCCGGGGACCGUGCGAGUGGGCGCAAGGAUUAUUGGGAAUAGUCGCACAGUAGGACCAUCAUAUCAAACGGUAUCUGCCCAUACUCCCUCACAGGAGUCGGUGGUGUCCGGGUGGCUCUUGCAAGGUGCUUCUGACCUAUCAACUAGAUGGCAGCGUAAUGGACAUGCUAUGGU
rnacentral:rRNA from 1 species